GCUGGGAUUGGCUCCAGCUUCCCCGCGACCCAGAUGGGAUCUGGUUGAAGAGCAGACAGCAUGCAAGAAUUAGCUCCUACAGGCCCACUACUCUUCACAGUGGUAGGUUGUAAGGUGACUGGCCAUGUAAAGUGACAACACAAGGGUCAACAAAAAUACCUCCAGGCAAUGAGAUGUCUGAGGGCUGCUCAACCAACAAUGGUGUUUUCCCAUGAUCAAUCCCUAAACUCACACAGCAUUUAACAGGGAUUUUCCACCCAGCAGGAACAAUUACUUGUUUUUUUCCAUCCACAAUUAAGUUGCCAACAUGACCACUGUCGCGCUGCUUUUUCCAAUGUGCAAGUAAUUUUAAGAGUUGACUAUAGCCAUGAGCAAAAGUGUUUGUACAAAAAUUAGCUUUUUCGCAGUGUUGAUCAUAGACCACAUCCAGGGUGUUUGUGCCAAUUAAAAUAGGAAAACUACUGCUAGACCUGAUAUCAGGGACAAUUAGGGCCAAAGUGCUAACCUCAGGCUUUGAAGGAAUGAGGUCCUCGGGAAAAACUAUAGCGACCUCAACAUACCCUAAAUAAGGGACAGAUUGGCCAUUAGCCCCUUCAACUUCUAACAGGCUAUCCACAGUUUUUAUGGGGAGGUUGGACAAGUACUUUUGGUAGAAUGACUGAGACAUUGUGGUUACUUGGGACCCAGUAUCAAGCAGUGAUAUGCAUUCUACACCUGAAAAAUUAAUAUUGGCUGUGCAUUUAUGACCCACAAGCCCUUUAGGUAACCCCCUGUACACUGACCUCACAGGUGCUAAUGCAGUUUGCGUUUUGCAGUCAAUGGGACUAUGGAAUCGUCCAGUCUCUGUUUGUCCCACAACAGAAACUACUCCCUGUUUAAAUGAGACGUACCCUGGGAACUGUUCUGUUUAUCCCAGGCCCUCUGCUUUUCCCUCAACUCUUCCCUUUUUUCCUGCACCAAUGCUGGGUUUGGUUCAUUGCUACAUGAUGAGGCCAGGUGACCAUCCUCCCCACAACUAAAACAAUAACCAGGCUUAGGCCUCUUACUGCAUGACUUAUCUGCUGCAAUUGUCUUAGGUUUUUCUUUGCUUUCUGCAUUAUAUUUAGUCUCAUUAGGUUUGGACUUCUUAAAGGUCUGUGCAGUACUUCCCUUACAUUUGCCAAGGGAAGCCAGCUGUGACCUGAGCUGUGCAAUUUCCUUUUUCAUCUCAUUGGCGUCCACUGAUGGAGACCCAGAAGAAUAACCUGGUUCACCUAACUCAGUUAAACCAUAGUCAUGGACAUGAUGAGAGGCGGACAGAGCUUUUGUCUUGGACAUGCCUAGAUAUUGCUUCAUUCUGAUUGAUGUAGCUGCUUGCUUAUCCUCCUCAGUUCUUAACAGGAGCAAUAAAUCAGAAAAAGAGG